CAAUAGCGUAUAUUAAAGUUGUUGACGGUUAAAAAGCUCGUAGUUGGAUUUCUGCCGAGGACGACCGGUCCGCCCUGUGGGUGAGCAUCUGGAUCGGCCUGGGCAUCUUCUUGGGGAACGUAGCUGCACUUGACUGUGUGGUGCGGUAUCCAGGACUUUUACCUUGAGGAAAUUAGAGUGUUUCAAGCAGGCGCACGCCUUGAAUACAUUAGCAUGGAAUAAUAAGAUAGGACCUCGGUUUCUAUUUUUGUUGGUUUCUAGAGCUGAGGUAAUGAUUAAUAGGGAGUAGUUGGGGGCAUUCAUAUUUAAUUGUCAGAGGUGAAAUUCUUGGAUUUAUGAAAGAUGAACUUCUGCGAAAGCAUUUUGCCAAGGAUGUUUUCAUUAAAUCAAGAACGAAAGUUAGGGAUCGAAGACGAUUAGAUACCAU
rnacentral:rRNA from 1 species